rnacentral:rRNA from 1 species
GAUGAACGCUGGCGGCGUGCCUAAUACAUGCAAGUCGAGCGAACAGACGAGGAGCUUGCUCCUCUGACGUUAGCGGCGGACGGGUGAGUAACACGUGGAUAACCUACCUAUAAGACUGGGAUAACUUCGGGAAACCGGAGCUAAUACCGGAUAAUAUAUUGAACCGCAUGGUUCAAUAGUGAAAGACGGUUUUGCUGUCACUUAUAGAUGGAUCCGCGCCGCAUUAGCUAGUUGGUAAGGUAACGGCUUACCAAGGCAACGAUGCGUAGCCGACCUGAGAGGGUGAUCGGCCACACUGGAACUGAGACACGGUCCAGACUCCUACGGGAGGCAGCAGUAGGGAAUCUUACGCAAUGGGCGAAAGCCUGACGGAGCAACGCCGCGUGAGUGAUGAAGGUCUUCGGAUCGUAAAACUCUGUUAUUAGGGAAGAACAAAUGUGUAAGUAACUAUGCACGUCUUGACGGUACCUAAUCAGAAAGCCACGGCUAACUACGU